rnacentral:rRNA from 1 species
UACAGAGGCCCCAAGCGUUACUGAGAAUCACUGGGCGUAAAGCGUGCGCAGGCGGCUUUGCAAGACAGAUGUGAAAUCCCCGGGCUUAACCUGGGAACUGCAUUUGUGACUGCAUGGCUGGAGUGCGGCAGAGGGGGAUGGAAUUCCGCGUGUAGCAGUGAAAUGCGUAGAUAUGCGGAGGAACACCGAUGGCGAAGGCAAUCCCCUGGGCCUGCACUGACGCUCAUGCACGAAAGCGUGGGGAGCAAACAGG